GUUGGGGUAGCUCAGUCAUUAGAGUGUGAGACUCUUAAUCUCAGGGUUGUGGGUUCGAGCCCCACACUGGGCA